AAAAGAAAUAUGUAAUGCUAUUUGGACAAGCUGGAAUGUUACAAAAUUAGAAAUAAGUGAUUCCUGAAAAGGUUAAAUAUGUUGGAAUAAUGUUAAUGAAACAUUUGAUUAUGACUUUAAAUAUCUCUCAGUUUGUGUUUGUUGUUCUUUAGGUUUUACCUGAUUUGAGUCUCUAGAUAUUAUUCAACAACUCCCAUGCAAAUUGGGCUUUUAUAGCUGGUGUAUGUAAAAUUGUCAAAAAGCUCAAAGCACAGAAAAUAUUUUAUUGCCUGUUCUCAUUCUUAUGGGUUCUUUUUUUUUUUUUUUACUAAUGUGAUGUCAUGAUGUGUUUAGUUAGACAUAUCCUGAAAUUCUCUUGAUCAUGAAGAUAUAUUCCCUGCCUUGCAAUGAAUCUCUUUUUUUUAAAAUAGGAUUUCUGCAUAUGAUAGGGAGGGGGGAGAAGUAGCAGGUGGAUGUUGCUUUGAAAAUGUUUUGAAUUAGAGUGAACAGUAAAGAAUGUUACACUUAUUUUGCGCAAGUUGUCAUUUGAAUACAGAUCUAGACAGAUUUAAUUAUUUUUGAUUGUAUAUUGUUUGAUUGUAUAUUAGACUGUUUGCACCAAAUAAUAAAUACAAAUAAUUUUUUAAAAAAGAAAAGAAAAAGUGUUAUGGUUGAGCCUCAUGGCUCUACUACUGGGAGACGUGGGCGUAAGACUCCUUGAGAGUCAGAUACUCUCGAGGAGCGAGAAAGGAAGCGGCUGCGAGAUAUCUUUGCAGAACCAUCUGACGAGGAUUCUUUUGAGGGGUUUACUGAGAGAAUGGAGGAAGAGAUGGUUAGCUCGGAAGAGGAUGACAUGGAAUGGACUCGUGUAAGGGAGGAUUUGGGUGCCACUGGCAAUGAUAGUAUGGAAGGCGAUUGGGGACCUUCAGGAUUAGACCCGUGGACAAGCUGGAGGGAUGGGACGGGAUCCACAGCUGGGGAUGCUGUGGGGCGUAGUCAAAGGUGUUCCAGUUCUGAUGAGGAAAGUGAUGAGGAAACGCCCGGGCUAAGGAGAACAGCUGAUAGCGAUGAGGACUUGUAACUGGCAUAAAAUGGGGUUUGGGAGCAAUAGCAAAUUGCGUUGGGCAAGGUAAUCUGGACGAACGCUUGGGAUCUGUGUGGGAAGUUUUCCUGAAGACGGGUGUGAUUCGUUUGCUGACUACCUUUGACCUUCCGUCGUCUUCUUGACGGACGCCAUCUGCUUACUCUGGACUUACGGACUGACUGACUACGGCCUCGGAUUCUCCUACCUGUGUCUAUCGUUGGAACUGGUGAACUACAAACGUCUGCAUCGGCCUUACGACCUUCGGAACGGAUUGGGACUUCGCUGACUGCUUCUGCCCUCGUCUGCUGUGUUUGUAUCGGGAAUUUGCCUGCUGUGUGGAGGAGUAACCUCUAAGUUACUCAAACAUAGCUCUUGGCAGCAGAGAAGCAUCUGCUGCCAAUUAGUUGCAUUCCUUUGAACUUUUUGUUCACCAGCUUCUGUUUGUUUAUUCCCAGGCUGAAGCAAGCUGUUUUGAUUUAACCCGGAUUAAACUCCGGUUUAAUCCGGUUUAUCUUUUGAACGUUUUUCUUGUCUCUUUUUACUUUUAAGGCCAGUGUUUGCCUAGCCCUUGUCUUUUACGGGCAUUUUUGGUUCUGUAACUCCAAUAAACUUUGUUAUCUUUUA